AGCCUGAUCAGCAACGCCGCGUGUGUGAUGAAGGCCUUCGGGUUGUAAACCCCUUUCAGGGGGGAAGAACAUCGCGGGGCCCAAUACCCCCUGUCCGUGACGGUUCCUCCCAAGGAAGCCCCGGCCAACUCCGUGCCAGCAGCCGCGGUAAUACGGAGGGCGCAAGCGUUGCUCGGAAUUACUGGGCGUAAAGGGCGCGUAGGCGGUCGUUCAAGUCGGACGUGAAACCCCGGGGCUCACCCGGGGAAUUGCGUCAGAAACUGCUGGACUUGAGUACCGGAAGGGAAAGUGGAAUUCCCGGUGUAGCGGUGAAAUGCGUAAAUAUCGGGAGGAACACCGGUGGCGAAGGCGACUCUCUGGACCGGGACUGACGCUGAGGAGCAAAACCCUGGGGAGCAAACAGGAUUAAAUACCCUGGUAGUCCUGGCCGUAAACAAUGAACACUAGGUGUGGGGGGUAUUCACUCCUCCGGUGCCGCAGCUAACGCAUUAAGUGCCCCGCCUGGGAAAUACGGGUCGCAA
rnacentral:rRNA from 1 species